UGUCUUGUUGGGUUUUAUGACAAGUCGGACCUGCCCAGUGUAUUAUAAAUGGCCGCGGUAUUUUGACCGUGCGAAGGUAGCAUAAUCAAUAGUCUAUUAAUUGUAGUCUGGAAUGAACGGUUUAACGGGGGAUAACUUUCUUAACUCUAUGGUUGAAUUUAAAUUAUUAGUGAAAAUGCUAAUGUGAUAAAGGGGGACGAGAAGACCCUGUGGAGUUUUAUAUUUAAGCAAUUUUGUUGGUAAUAAUUUUGUUUAUUAUAUUUUGCUGGGGCGGCAAUAAGUGACCUUUAUAGUUCUAGCUUUGUUAGAAGGUUUCUUGAUCCAUUAAUAGUGAUUUUUAGACUAAACUACCCCAGGGAUAACAGCGUAAUUUUAUUUUAGAGUUCUUAUCGAUAAUGAAGUUUGCGACCUCGAUGUUGGAUUAGGAUUCCUUUAGGGUGCAGAAGCUAAUAAGGUGUC
rnacentral:rRNA from 1 species